CAUAGUGAUCCGGUGGUUCUGAAUGGAAGGGCCAUCGCUCAACGGAUAAAAGGUACUCCGGGGAUAACAGGCUGAUACCGCCCAAGAGUUCAUAUCGACGGCGGUGUUUGGCACCUCGAUGUCGGCUCAUCACAUCCUGGGGCUGAAGUAGGUCCCAAGGGUAUGGCUGUUCGCCAUUUAAAGUGGUACGCGAGCUGGGUUUAGAACGUCGUGAGACAGUUCGGUCCCUAUCUGCCGUGGGCGCUGGAGAACUGAGGGGGGCUGCUCCUAGUACGAGAGGACCGGAGUGGACGCAUCACUGGUGUUCGGGUUGUCAUGCCAAUG
rnacentral:rRNA from 1 species